rnacentral:tRNA from 1 species
GCAUUCAGUAGAUGUGUAUUAGAGUUUCACAGACCUU